rnacentral:rRNA from 1 species
UAGAGUUUGAUCCUGGCUCAGAAUCAACGCUGGCGGCGUGCCUCAGACAUGCAAGUCGAACGCGAAAGUUCCCUUCGGGGAGCGAGUAGAGUGGCGCACGGGUGAGUAACACGUAGGUAAUCUACCUUUGGAUGGGGAAUAACAACCGGAAACGGUUGCUAAUACCGCAUAAUGCAGCGGCACCUAAUGGUGACAGUUGUUAAAGCGGGGGAUCGUAAGACCUCGCGUCUGAAGAGGAGCCUGCGGCAGAUUAGCUAGUUGGUAAGGUAACGGCUUACCAAGGCGAUGAUCUGUAGCCGGCCUGAGAGGGCGGUCGGCCACACUGACACUGACAUACGGGUCAGACUCCUACGGGAGGCAGCAGUCGGGAAUUUUGCGCAAUGGGCGAAAGCCUGACGCAGCGACGCCGCGUGCGGGAAGAAGGCCUUCG